rnacentral:rRNA from 1 species
AGUGAACGCUGGCGGCAGGCCUAACACAUGCAAGUCGAACGGCAGCACAGUAAGAGCUUGCUCUUACGGGUGGCGAGUGGCGGACGGGUGAGGUAUACAUCGGAAUCUACUUUUUCGUGGGGGAUAACGUAGGGAAACUUACGCUAAUACCGCAUACGACCUACGGGUGAAAGCAGGGGAUCUUCGGACCUUGCGCGAUUGAAUGAGCCGAUGUCGGAUUAGCUAGUUGGCGGGGUAAAGGCCCACCAAGGCGACGAUCCGUAGCUGGUCUGAGGGGGUGGUCACACAGACGGGAAGAGAGAAACGGUACAGACUCUUGCGGGGAGACACAGUGGAGAAUAUUGGGCAAUGGGGGAAAGCCUGAUCCAGCAAAACCGCGUGGGUGAAGAAGGACUUCGGGUUGGAAAGUGCUGUUGUUGUGAAAGAAAAACAGCAGGUUAAUACCCCGCGGUUAUGACGGUACCGGGAGAAUAAGCACCGGCUAACUUCGUG